CCUUCCACAGAAGAGACAUCAGAUACCUAUCAGCUACAUGUACAGUGAUUGCAAUAAACAGGAAAGGAUCUUACAACAAACAAAACCUUUGGAUUUCCAGAAAUUAAAUGUUAUUUGCAAGCGGUUGACAGAGGGUCAGUCGUGUCACAAAUAACACAAACCUAUGUGGCCUGAAGCAGGUAUUUCUUUGGAAACAGCUUUUCAACCAAUCACAAGAGCCUUAUGGAAUCAAACAAGAGCCAAAAGAAAGGUAUGUUUGCUGAUAAACUGAAUGGGAGUGAGUUAACACUUUGUGGAGGGGAAGAAAAUCCACAUAGAAUGAAGCUAAAUCAAAUAAUCUUGAGAUUAAAAGUGGAACGGACACAUUCACAUUGAGCAUAGUUUGUGUUAAUCAAAUUCUAAAGGCAUUAUUGACCGACAACAAAACCCUAAAACAAUGAUUCCUAAGAAAGUGAGGAUAAAUGUGCAUUGAAAGAUAAUAUACAAAUACUGCCCCCUGUGUUUUGUUUAUCAUAAAUAAAAAGCCAUAAUCUAAAUGUGCACUGAUUGGUUUGAAUGUUGUAUUUUGACAAGAUAAAUGUUGGGUUUGAUUCAUGUUCAUUUACACAAAUACAUCCAAAGAGAGAAAGACAGAGAAAACAGAGAGUUAUAUAUACUUUCAACGUAUACUUUAAAGUAUACUUUUACUUUAAACUUUAUGACGUAAAACAAAUCUGAUGUACAAUAAGUCCUGAACCUGUUAGGUACUAAUAGAGCAGACAUAUCCAUUAAGGAAACCCUGACAGUGAUAUGUGCACUGGAAAACAUAGCAGGUGAUGGCUGUUGAAUGUUUGAUGAGCCAAUGCAUGUUUCCACAGCAGUGACAUUAGAUAUCUAUCAACUUCAUGUACAGUGAUUGCCAUAAACUGUAAAGGAUUUUACAAAAAACCAAACUCACAUUUUUGAAGUUUUUUUUUCAAGAAUAAAAGUGAUUUGAAACCAGUUGAAAGUAGGAAUGUAGGAAAGCACUGAAUUUCACAUUUUGCAUGCAACUUUAAUGGACGAAUAACAAGCUUGAGUUUCAUAAUGGCUGUGCACAUAGCUUAAACGCAGCCAGAAUAGUUUUAAGGGUCAGUUGUGUCAGAAAUAACAUAAACCUACUGUGGGCUGAAUGUCAUUAGCAAAUAAAUAAUGGUGCUAUGAUCAAUACAACGUUUAAUACAAAAUGUUAAAGUUAUUGAUAUUUGAUUUGCUGUAGGAUGUUGUUGCCAUCUGUAGGACACUAACUGUAAACUUUCAUUACCUGUUAUUGCAUAAUUACCCAACCAUUUUUUCUCCCACAGUCAAGUAAAGCUCUGUCUUAUUAUGCUAUUGAACUGUCUGCAGCAGGUAUUUCUUUCGAAACAUCUUUUCAGCCUCAGGGAAUCAAAACAAGAACCACUAGAAAGGUAGGUUUGCUGAUAAACUGAACGGGAGUGAGUUAACACUUAGUGGAGGGGAAGAAAACCCACAGAGAAUGAAGCUAAAUCAAAUCAUCUUGAUAUUAAAAGUGGUAUGAACACCUCUAGAUAUACAGUCUAUGAUGAACAACCAUCAAACCCAUUGAUUUCCCCCAAUUCGGUAGUUUUGGAAAUAAUAGAGCUAGAAUUUCUAUUGAGGAAACACUGACAGUGAUAAGUGCACUGGAAAACAUAGCAGGAGAUGUCUGUUGAAUGUUUGAUGUGCCCAUGCAUGUUUCUGCAGCAGUGACAUCAGAUACCUAUCAGCUACAUGUACAGUGAUUGCCCAAAAUCAACAAAAAAAUAUCCACAACAAACCAAACUUUAUUUUCAGGAAUGAAACGUAUUUGAAAACAGAUGACUGAAGUAUGAAGGCAGUGAAACUCAUAUUUCGCAUGCAACUUUGAAACACAAAUAACAAUCAUGAGUUUCAGCCACAACUGUUUUCAGGAUCAGUUGUGUCACAUAUAAUAUAUGCAUAUUGUGACCUAAAUAUUAUAAGGGAUGUGCAAAUAGCUUAAUAGCAGCAGCAGCAGCAGCAGCAGCAGCAUCUGUUUUCAGGGUCGGUUGUGUCACAUAAUAACAUAUACAUACUGGGUCCUAAAUGCCAUUUGUAAAUAUAUUAUGCAUAUUAUACAAACAUUUGUAGGUUUUGCAGGUAAUAUUCAGUCUUCUUGUUCACCUUCUUGUUCUUUUCCCUUGCCUUUCUUGCCACCCUUCCCUGUCUUCUUCUGGUAGUAGCAUCUGGCCAGGACACACACACACCGACAAAACUCACGGAAGUUGACCUCUCCAUCGUGGUUUUUAUCCAACAUCUCCAUUGCCUCCCCGAUGUCAGCUGCAUUGAUUUUAUCCUGGAGGAGACAUCAUAAGAGUUAAAUUACAACAUGAAAAGCACGGAGCCCACCUGAGUGGUUGUCUACAGUACUACUUUUAUUUUAUGAACUAAUUGGAUUUUUAAAGUCUCUUACUUUUAACUCUGGGCUUUGUAUUUCUAGCUCCAACACCUUCUUCAACUCUUCCGUAUUCAGCUGGGGUUUCUUGCCAUCAUCAUCAGCAUACUCCAGAAAUAUGUCAACAAUGUUUGUAAUGACCUGUUCCAGACGAGCCAUGGCUGUAGCUGGAGACAAAAGAUUCUUUAAUCAGCUGUACUCACCUUAGAGUUGAAGUUCCCUGGAAGAAGAGAGAACACGUCUGUGUUGCCGGCUGACCCAAGUGAGAAUGAUUCAGACUGAGGGGAAAGCCUCUUCUUAAAGAGAAGACCCAUACACACAGACACACACACACACACACACACACACACACACACACACACACACACACACACACACACACACACACACACACACACACACACACACACACACACACACACACACACACACACACACACACACACACACACACACACACACACACACACACAGGGGCUUGUAUACACCCACAUCAGCAGUGAUUCAUGCACUGGAAAUGUUCCCCCUUUCCAACCAAACUAGUGUUACCAUGUCUUUCUCUGAGUAUUUCUAUCAUAAAUAGAAGACAGUGUUUAUGUUUGUGUUUUAUAAAGUAAAUGUUACCCAUGUUGA